CGAGUCGUACGCAAAUCCAUCGCCCG
rnacentral:piRNA from 1 species